UUCCCCAAAGGGACUGCAGCCUGUGGAUGAGCCCGCACUGCAAGAGACUUUACCUGGAAAUCAGUGAAGAGAAAACAGGCUGUGUUAAGAAGGCUUAUUUGGAUAAACUCAAGCAGAUCCCAAGGCUGAGCAGGAGGUCCUCGUCUGCCAUCCCCCACUGAAAACAUACUGAUGUUUCUGUGAUGCCCCCACCCUCUCCUGCAGAAGAUUGGCAGCAUCAGCCUUAGGCCUUGGGAGAGCAUCAUGGGGUGAGCCAGAGAAACCCCGUGGAAAACUAGGUGGAUGCUCUGGCUGCCAGGAAGUGAAUUUUGUGGACACCAAUGAGCUCCAGUUUCUUUACAACCAUGAAAUCAUGUAUUUUAAAGAAAGCAAAAGGAAGCUACUCUUACCGUAACUGCAUGCCAAAUAGGAAGACAGAAACAAUCUCAGUAAGAAAGAUAACUGUAAGUCUUGUUCAUCACACUGAGGUGAGUAGAGGCUACAAGAGAUUAUGGUCAACUGGGAAUCUUCUGACAAAAUGUCUCUGCUUCAGAAAAGAUGUGGCAAGAUACUACAGUUCUUCACAGCUCCAAAGCACUACCGACAGUAUUAUGGAUAUAGAAGUCCGGCUCCUUAGUGUUUCAACUCUUUAGCUCAUUCACCAAACCAGUGAGGAACUGCUGUGUAUGAAGUUCUAUAAACUGAAAAAGUGAGCAAGAACCACUAAGGAAAUCAGAUGUGUUCAGUGAAAAAUGUUCAUUUAUUGUUCAUUAACAGAGGUAAAACUCAUUGCUACAUGAGCUGGUCCAACUUGUAACAAAGCUGUCUAUCAUAUAUCUUUCUUUGAUUCUCUUAGAGGUUGAUUUUUGUUAUUGUGUGUUGUCUCAGUACAUUAGUCCAAGUGAAAUGCCACAGGAUAGAGAUAAUAUCCGAUUACUUGUUCGGCUGAAAAUAAUUUCUGUUAAAGUUGGAACAAAAGGCAUAAGAAAUACCACAUCAACUUUAAUAAAUCUUACAAUAUUACAAAGAAUCUUGGAAUGCUAUGAACCAGCUUUUAACGUGUGCUUCUCCAUUAAGGCAGAAAAUUGCACUGGGAAAAAAAAUACCCAACCUGUUUCUGCUCCACUGCAACAGUUUCACAGAUGAUGCUUUGCUUUGAAUUUGCGUUGGAA